UACAGAGGGCCCAAGCGUUAAUCGGAAUCACUGGGCUUAAAGCGUGCGUAGGCGGAUCUGUAAGUGUCUUGUGAAAUCCCACGGCUCAACCGUGGAACUGCUCGGCAUACUGCAGAUCUUGAGGUCGGUAGGGGUCGUCGGAGCUCUAGGUGGAGCGGUGAAAUGCGUAGAUAUCUAGAGGAACGCCAAAGGUGAAGACAGACGACUGGGCCGAUCCUGACGCUGAGGUACGAAAGCGUGGGGAGCAAACGGG
rnacentral:misc_RNA from 1 species